rnacentral:rRNA from 1 species
CUGAACGCUGGCGGCGUGGCUAAGACAUGCAAGUCGAACGGGUGUAGCAAUACACCAGUGGCGGACGGGUGAGUAAUAAAUCGCUAAUGUACCCCGGAGCCAGGGAUAGCUGCCCGAAAGGGCAGGUAAUACCUGAUGAGACCACGAACAGGCAUCUGUUUGUGCUCAAAGCAGCAAUGCACUCUGGAGCAGGCGAUUUCGUAUCAGCUUGUUGGUGAGGUAACGGCUCACCAAGGCGACGACGCGUAGCUGGUCUGAGAGGACGGCCAGCCACAUUGGGACUGAGACACUGCCCAGACUCCUACGGGGGGCUGCAGUAACGAAUCUUCCGCAAUGCACGAAAGUGUGACGGAGCGACGCCGCGUGUAGGAUGAAGUCCUUCGGGAUGUAAACUACUGUUCAGGGGUAAGAAAGUUCUGAUCUACCCCAGAGGAAGAGACGGCUAACUCUGUGCCAGCAGCCGCGGUAAUACAGAGGUCUCGAGCGUUAGGCGGAAUCACUGGGCUUAAAGCGUGUGUAGGCGGAUCGGUAAGUACCUUGUGAAAUCCCACGGCUUAACCGUGGAACUGCUUGGUAUACUGCCAGUCUUGAGCCAUCUAGGGGCUACCGGAAACAAAUGGUGGAGCGGUGAAAUGCGUAGAUAUCAUUUGGAACGCCAAUGGUGAAAACAGGUAGCUGGGGAUGUGCUGACGCUGAGACACGAAAGCCAGGGGAGCAAACGGGAUUAGAUACCCCCGGUAGUCCUGGCCGUAAAACGAUGUCGACUAGAUCGCAGUUCCUUCAAACGGAAUUGCGGUCGAAGCAAAAGUGCUAAGUCGACCGCCUGGGAAGUACGGUCGCAAGGCUAAAAACUCAAAGAAAAUUGACGGGGGCUCACACAAGCGGUGGAGCAUGUGGUUCAAAUUCGAAGCAACGCGCAGAAACCUUACCUGGGCUUGACAUGCUAGGAUUAUCCCUAUGAAAAGUAGGGUAGGCCCUUCGGGGUUACAAACUAGUACAGGUGCUGCAUGGCUGUCGUCAGCUCGUGGUCGUGAGAUGUCGGGUUAAGUCCCUUAACGAGCGAAACCUUUGCCCUUAGUUACUAACGGGUUAUGCCGAGGACUCUAAGGGGGACUGCCGGUGUCAAACCGGAGGAAGGUGGAGAUGGACGUCAAGUCCUCAUGGCCUUUAUGCCCAGGGCCACACACGUGCUACAAUGGGGUGCACAGAGCGAACCGAGAGCGCAAGCUGGAGGAAAUCGCACAAAUCACCCUCCAGUUUCAGAUUGGAGGCUGCAACUCGCCUCCAUGAAGUUGGAAUCGCUAGUAAUCGCGGAUCAGCUACGCCGCGGUGAAUGUGUUCCUGAGCCUUGUACACACCGCCCCGUCAAGUCAUGGGAGCCGGAAAUAGCCCGAAGCCGCCAACACCACUGUGGUGUCUACGCUAGGUUCGGUGACUGGGACU